GACCUUGUAGGUCAGACGGUAGAGCAUCGUUCUAGAAAUACGAAGGUCGCGGGUUCGAAUCCCAGCCGCGGUCA